AGGCGGAGGAGCAGAAGGAGCAGGUCAAGUUGCAGUCCUUCGCUGUGGACGUCAGAGAUCCUGAGGGAAGCAGCAAUCCAUCUAGCCCCCAUCAGGAGCUGUUUUUCAGGAGGAUGUCUAAGGCAGAUCCAAGUCAGGACACCUCAGGAGGGAAGACUCGAACAAAGUUGUCUGGUCUUUCUGGUGGAGCUGCAACAGUGGCUGAACCUCCAGCUCAAGACAGUCUUGUGUCCUUCGAGGAGGUGGCUGUGUA